rnacentral:tRNA from 1 species
CGCCUAGUAGCCCAAUGGCAGAGGCAAACGACUUAAAAUCGUUAUAGUGUCAGUUCGAGUCUGACCUAGGCGACAA